CCAGACCGCUAGGGGUGCGCGCCGCUGAGAGUCUCCGGGAUUGGGGACAACCCUGGCACCUGAACUCGGUAAUGCGAGCGUAGGGAAGCGGAGGUGUUUGCCA
rnacentral:ncRNA from 2 species